rnacentral:rRNA from 1 species
UAAGGAAUUUUUCGCAAUGGGGGCAACCCUGACGAAGCAACACAGCGUGAAGGAUGAAGGCCUUUUGGUCGUAAACUUCUUUUUUGAGGGAAUAAAUAUGAAGGUACCUCAAGAAUAAGCAUCGGCUAACUACGUGCCAGCAGCCGCGGUAAGACGUAGGAUGCAAACGUUAUCCGGAAUUAUUGGGCGUAAAGAGUUCGUAGACGAACUGUUAAGUAGAAUGUUAAAGGCCAGGGCCUAACCCUGGUAU